rnacentral:sRNA from 1 species
AUACUUCAAAGAUAAGAUUCAUUUGGUUAAAGAAGCCUGAAAGUCAGUCGAGGAUGAAUGGCUUUUGAUCGAAAAGAGCAAUGAAAGGAUUUAGUUUAGUGGGUGAAAGAUUGGCUUACAACCGGGAAUGGAAUGAUUUUACGGGAAGUAUAAGAGUGUUUAUUUGCAGGGUUUUGUUGUACUGUGACAAAUGGUUGGUAAAAAAGAUCCUUGAAGGCAAAGGCCCUUGAUGACGUUGGGCACUUACUAGAGCCUGGUUUCCCAAUUCUGUAGUACACUGUUUCACUGCCUCAGUGUUUCCUUAUUUUACUGUAGAGUAUGGUAUAUUCAUAGGGAACAUUUUGUGGUAGUUCCUGUUCCACUUCAUAGGUUCUACAGCACUUUUAGAUUCAUUGAGGUGGUAUCUCAAGUGGCAGUGACAAUUAGGAUAUCCUUUUAGGUCUGGUAUCAUUGAUUUUUCAGCUUCCAUUUUUAAAUAUGUAUGUAUUAUAUUUCCAUGUUUGAUGUUCACAUUUUCGAAUGCUUUUAGCUUAACUGAACCCAAUGAUUCAGUCGAAUUAUUUAUGAGGUGCCAACUACAAUUGCCAACACCCAAAAAACGAAUGAUAUUUUAUUAGAACCCAACACCAUAGGGCGGCCCAUCCCUGGAACCAAAACGGGAAUGUAAUACAAGAAAACUAUUUGUUAGUUUGCGCCAAUUUAAUGUUGACUUUGCACUUCAAUCCACACACAGCCACAGCCAAAUUAGGGCAAAUCAAACAGAUACGAUACGCAUAGAAGCGAGACCUUAUUGUAUCUUAUUGUACCACCCAUUGCCAUUAGUUCUCAUUUAUCAAUGUAUCUAUCUAUCAAUUAAGUGAACGUGCGCUUUUCCCAGGGGCGCUUUAGAUAGGAGACACCAUCGAAACAAAAAGAUACAAGAACCAAACCCCCAACGGAUGACACUGACAAUUUCCACGGAACAAUGGAUGAGCAUUCGUUCGAUCGCGUUGCGUGGGGCAAUUAAAAAUUUCACCCAAAUAGCAAACGUUGCGCAUGAUUAGACCACGGAAUUCGAGAAGUUCGAGGCGAAUUUCAUGCUCUCGACCCGCAUCGGUGGAAAAUUGGUGGACAGCCGGCGGGUGGUCGAAGCCGACGACAGCAGAAAAUUUGUCGAAACUUUGGCUCUGUACUCAAUAUAGUUCUGUUAUGGACUGUUAGGAGAAGAGUCUGAGGAGGAGAUGAUUGUUGUGUUGUGUGGCAGGGCUGGGAAUCUUGUUUUGGCAGCUGUCAAUGUGUCAAUAUUAAUUUAAUAUGUCAGAGCCAGAAGCAGUAUUCAGCACAAUUUUAAAUUGAGUUAUAAUGUGACACACGAGAUGAUGGGCUGGUGCUGGUGCUGGUGCUGCGACUCUCCCAAAACAUGCCAUUAGGGGUUGUACUUCUCACAACACUCAAGUGGUUAUUCGAGGAUAUUCAAUAUCCUUAGCGAUCAACCCCUCUUGACUUUGACGACUGUUUUCAUGUACCUACUUCAGGAGGGCCUCUGGUAGACGUCGAACAAUUUGUUAAUGAGCAAAUUACAUGCAGAACAGUGGACACGCCCUCAAAGUGAUUCACAACCUCCCUCCCGUCCCCAUACAUUUUCCCAAGAAAUUUUGGGAAAUUCUUUCGAUGAUAAGGCAAACAACUAUUAAAACUGUUGAAGCGUAAAAGGAUGCCCCCAGAAUAUGCCUGGCAGGGU